rnacentral:rRNA from 1 species
UACAGAGGGUGCGAGCGUUAAUCGGAAUUACUGGGCGUAAAGCGCACGUAGGCGGCUUUACAGGUCCGUUGUGAAAACUCGAGGCUCAACCUCGAGACGCCGGUGGAAACCGUAAGGCUAGAGUCCGGAAGAGGAGAAUGGAAUUCCCGGUGUAGCGGUGAAAUGCGCAGAUAUCGGGAAGAACACCCGUGGCGAAGGCGGUCUCUGGGACGGUACUGACGCUGAGACGCGAAAGCGUGGGGAGCGAACAGG